AUGUUGGGGAUCACGCCACCGUGGGCGAUGGUCACGCCAGCGAGCAGCCUGCCGAGCUCCUGGUCGUUGCGGACGGCGAGCAGCAGGUGGCGCGGGAUGAUGCGCGUCUUCUUGUUGUCCUUGGCAGCGUUGCCUGCAAGCUCCAGGACCUGCGAUUCAAAAGCACACAGAUGCAAAAUCAGUUAUCUGUCGAGCACGAGAAGAACAGAGCAGAAGAGAUGCUCGGGGACAGGAAAGAUGGGUACAUACCUCGGCGGCGAGGUACUCGAGGACGGCGGCGAGGUAGACGGGGGCGCCGGAGCCGACGCGCUGGGCGUAGCGGCCCUUCUUGAGGUAGCGCCCGAUGCGGCCGACGGGGAACUGGAGCCCGGCCUUUACGGAGCGGGUCACCGCCUUCUUCCUGUCGCCGCCCUUCCUUCCGGCCAUCUUGCUCCUUCUCCGGCGAACUGGAAACUACUCGAGAUGCGUCAGCGGCGGUGCUUGUUCGGAAUGCUCUGA
rnacentral:rRNA from 1 species